rnacentral:rRNA from 1 species
CGCGGCCUAUCAGCUUGUUGGUGGGGUAAUGGCCUACCAAGGCGACGACGGGUAGCCGGCCUGAGUGGGUGUCCGGCCACACUGGGACUGAGAUACGGCCCAGACUCCUACGGGAGGCAGCAGUGGGGAAUAUUGCACAAUGGGCGCAAGCCUGAUGCAGCGACGCCGCGUGAGGGAUGACGGCCUUCGGGUUGUAAACCUCUUUCAGCAGGGACGAAGCGCAAGUGACGGUACCUGUAGAAGAAGGACCGGCCAACUACGUGCCAGCAGCCGCGGUAAUACGUAGGGUCCGAGCGUUGUCCGGAAUUACUGGGCGUAAAGAGCUCGUAGGUGGUUUGUCGCGUUGUUCGUGAAAACUCACAGCUUAACUGUGGGCGUGCGGGCGAUACGGGCAGACUUGAGUACUGCAGGGGAGACUGGAAUUCCUGGUGUAGCGGUGGAAUGCGCAGAUAUCAGGAGGAACACCGGUGGCGAAGGCGGGUCUCUGGGCAGUAACUGACGCUGAGGAGCGAAAGCGUGGGGAGCGAACAGGAUUAGAUACCCUGGUAGUCCACGCCGUAAACGGUGGGUACUAGGUGUGGGUUUCCUUCCUUGGGAUCCGUGCCGUAGCUAACGCACUAAGUACCCCGCCUGGGGAGUACGG